rnacentral:lncRNA from 1 species
UUGUGAGAAGAGAGAGCAACACCAGCAAUGCACAUGCAAAGAGGAAAGGCCCUGCAAGGAUGCUAAGAACGAGGACGGCCAUCCGCCCACCAAGGAGAGAAGUAUCAGGAGGAACAAACCGGCCAACACCUUGAUCUUGGACUUCCAGCCUCCAGAACUGUCCGCAGCUUGGGCUACCUUCCAGCAUAAAGUCACUAAAGAUGUGCCGGGCAUGAUGAAGGAAGAAAGCGACUACAUGCUGAAGGAGAUGGUGCGGGGACUCGCUAGUACCUAUUGGCAGGACCUGGGGAACUUUGGUGGGUGCUUGAUAAUGGGGACUGGAAUAAAAACUGGCUAAGCAAAAA